UCUAAUGUCUGAAAAGUUUAAUACAACAGAAAUAAUAAGGAACAGUACUGCUAACUAAGAUAGAAAGGACGGGGACUCUCUGGCCUGCGGACGCAGUAGUAUACCUCAAGUCUCCAAUAGAAAGCUCCGAACUCAAUGAUGAUACGCCUGACCAGAUGCAUCUGGAUCUGCACAACAAAAGUGUGUGGAAGAGUAGCAUGAGUACACCACAACGGUACGUAGUAAGUGC
rnacentral:lncRNA from 1 species